GCGAGAGUGGCGAAACUGGCAGACGCGCUGGAUUUAGGUUCCAGUGCCGCAAGGCGUGCGGGUUCGACUCCCGCCUCUCGCA
rnacentral:tRNA from 1 species